GUAAAAUGUUACAUUUCACAUAAAAGUUAAAGGACCACUAUAGUGCCCCCACCCUCAGGGUCCCACUCCCUGCCGGGCUGGUUGGAGAGGAAGGGGGUAAACACUUAACUUUCUCCACCGCUGGGCUUUCUCGGUGCUGGGGACUCUCCUCCUCCUUUCCCCGUCAUCGGCUGAAUGUGCAUGCGCGGCAAGAGCAGCGCGCGCAUUCAGCCAGUCUCACAGGAAAGCAUUCUCAAUGCUUUCCUAUGGAUGCUGGCGUCUUCUCACUGUGAAAAGCACAGCGAGAAGCACGGAGGCGCCUCUAGCGUCUGUCAAUGAGACAGCCACUAGAGGCUGGAUUAACCCAUUUGUAAACAUAGCAGUUUCUCAGAAACUGCUAUGUUUACAGCAGGCAGGAUUAAUCCUAGCUGGACCUGGCACCCAGACCACUUCAUUAAGCUGAAGUGGUCUGGGUGCCUAUAGUGGUCCUUUAAUAUUUUAAAAUAAAAUAAAAAAAUGCAAGGGAAACAAGGUGACCAAGGGAAAGUGGUUCAUAAAAGGUAAAGGUCAGCGGAGUCUUUCAAUUUAUGAAAUGAUGGAGAAUAUGUCUGAAUGAUCAAACAUAAUAGUUAUUCUGUAGAGCUAAAGCAAUGAUGUUGCUAAUAGAGAGGACAGUGCUCUCAGGAUUAUACUACAAGUUAUAUAGUCUGGAAUUUUUGGAACUGGAGUGAAAAGUAGAUACAAGAAAUGAUGGUGGAGAAGGUUUCUCUAGGUACCGUUUAUAAAAACAAUGGUUUGGCAUUGCACGACAAUGACCAGGUCACUCAUUGAUGUGAGUAAAACAGCAAAGUGCUUGUUUUAGGAGAAAAAUUAAAUUCAAUAACAUUUUUUGUAAAAGUAAUAUACUUACUGACUGCAUUGUUGUCUUUUAUUAUGCUCCACUAUUUAUUUGUAGAAAAUACUGAAGCUUCUACUGUCAUCUUUGGCAGGCUGUUGACAAAUACAGAGCUUAAGAUAUUAUUUGCAAAAACAAUUUGGGGAUAGCCAAUCAACUGCCGAUUGCUGAACCACGAGUUGGAAAACAAAAAUGUAGGCAUCUGAUAAAUUUGUAAUAAAUAGAUGGGGGGUGUAGUUUACAUGGUCGUCACUGCACACGGAGUAUUUUUUUGAAUAUUUCCUAGCAGGUCGUAUCAGUGGCUGUUUUGCCCAUACUGUUUGUAAAUAUUGGACUACAUUCACACAGGACACCACUUUGAGAAUACUUCAUUUCAUAGGAGACAGGGAAUGUUUCUGCUGAUGGACAUCCACUUAUUUUAUUACCAUGAAGGCUAACUCUGUUUCACUUUAUAGCAGCGGACGUUUGUGACCUCGGUUGAUUAUAUAGUGCCUUUAUUUCCUUAAGAAAAAAAACACACAAUCAAUAAAUUAUAAUGUUUGACUUGUGUGAAGUGCUACAGCCCUUGAGAAAGCCACAAAGAGUAGGAGUCCUGCAGACACGUGACAACAUGUGAGAUAUUCUUUGUGUUGUUUUUUGAGGAAACACUGGAGGACACGCUCACGGAUUGCCAGAACAAUGCAGUGCUGUAAGUCAUGGGACCUUUAUAGUGUCAGCAAGGGGACUGGAUACCAUAUUUUCUCUCUCUCAUUAGGCCUCUGAUAAAGGAGACAAUGACUCUAGGCAAGAGGAACGGUGUAUGGUGAUAUCGUAAAUCUGUAAAUAUGACUGUUGGUUGUGCAUAAGACAUGUCGGGGUGUAUGGUAUGACUGUGAAAAAGUGAAUGCGAAUUAAAAAAAACUGC